rnacentral:rRNA from 1 species
GACGAACGCUGGCGGCGUGCUUAACACAUGCAAGUCGAACGGAAAGGCCCUGCUUUUGUGGGGUGCUCGAGUGGCGAACGGGUGAGUAACACGUGAGUAACCUGCCCUUGACUUUGGGAUAACUUCAGGAAACUGGGGCUAAUACCGGAUAGGAGCUCCUGCUGCAUGGUGGGGGUUGGAAAGUUUCGGCGGUUGGGGAUGGACUCGCGGCUUAUCAGCUUGUUGGUGGGGUAGUGGCUUACCAAGGCUUUGACGGGUAGCCGGCGUGAGAGGGUGACCGGCCACAUUGGGACUGAGAUACGGCCCAGACUCCUACGGGAGGCAGCAGUGGGGAAUAUUGCACAAUGGGCGGAAGCCUGAUGCAGAAACGCCGCGUGCGGGAUGACGGCCUUCGGGUUGUAAACCGCUUUCGCCUGUGACGAAGCGUGAGUGACGGUAAUGGGUAAAGAAGCACCGGCUAACUACGUG